GGCCAGCAGCCGCGGUAAUACGUAGGUGGCAAGCGUUGUCCGGAAUUACUGGGCGUAAAGGGCGCGUAGGCGGUAAUUUAAGUCGGAUGUGAAAUCUGGAGGCUUAACCUCCAGUUUGCAUUCGAAACUGGAUUACUUGAGUGCAGGAGAGGGCAGUGGAAUUCCUAGUGUAGCGGUGAAAUGCGUAGAUAUUAGGAGGAACACCAGUGGCGAAGGCGGCUGCCUGGACUGUAACUGACGCUGAGGCGCGAAAGCGUGGGGAGCGAACAGGAUUAGAUACCCUGGUAGUCCACGCCGUAAACGAUGGGUACUAGGUGUAGGGGGUAUCGACCCCUUCUGUGCCGGAGUUAACACAAUAAGUACCCCGCCUGGGGAGUACGGCCGCAAGGUUGAAACUCAAAGGAAUUGACGGGGGCCCGCACA
rnacentral:rRNA from 1 species